rnacentral:rRNA from 1 species
AUGAGGAACCGGUUGAGUACGCUUACGAAGAUCAAGCUUUCGACAACUCUGAGAACCUUGCAGAUUUACAUGAAGAGGGAGAUUGCCUGCAGCUGGAGACCUGAAAAGCUAUAUCAGAGAUACCUAUUCUCCACACCUCCAAAUGAGCUGAAAUUUGACGGAGAAUUAUUUUGGAAUGUAUAUAAAAUACUGGAACAAAGAAGUACCAGAGGGGGCCCACCAAGUGCCCACAGGGUACCAAGGCGUGCCCACCCCCCUGGCGCGCCAUGGUGGCUUGUGGGCCCCCGGGCCAUCCUCCGUGUACCAUCUUCUGCUAUAUGA